GUGUCAGCAGCCGCGGUAAUACGUAGGGCGCAAGCGUUGUCCGGAAUUAUUGGGCGUAAAGAGCUCGUAGGCGGUUUGUCGCGUCUGUCGUGAAAGCCCACGGCUUAACUGUGGGUCUGCGGUGGAUACGGGCAGACUAGAGGCAGGUAGGGGAGAAUGGAAUUCCCGGUGUAGCGGUGAAAUGCGCAGAUAUCGGGAGGAACACCGGUGGCGAAGGCGGUUCUCUGGGCCUGUACUGACGCUGAGGAGCGAAAGCGUGGGGAGCGAACAGGAUUAGAUACCCUGGUAGUCCACGCCGUAAACGUUGGGCGCUAGGUGUGGGGUUCUUCCACGGAUUCCGCGCCGUAGCUAACGCAUUAAGCGCCCCGCCUGGGGAGUACGGCCGCAAGGCUAAA
rnacentral:rRNA from 1 species